rnacentral:lncRNA from 1 species
CUACAGGGUACUUCUGGCUUGAGCAACUGAGUGAAUGAUAGUGCUCUUUACUGAGAUACAGAAGAUUGACAAAAAAUCAUGUUGUAGGGAGGAAGGCACAAAUCAAAAAGUUCUAUUUUAGACAUGUUUAAUUUUAGAUGUCUAUUAGUCAUUUAAGUGCCAUUUGGGUAUAUGAAUUUCGAGCUCUGGGAAAAAGUUAGGCAUGAAGACAGGUUUGGAACUUGUUACCCAAUUUACAGUAUUUCAAGCGAUGCAACUGGAUGAGAUUAUGUAGGAAGACUGUAGAAAAAUAAUAAAAUAUAGCUUAAAAUAUGAUAAUAGACUUAAAAAAUAAUAGAACCUAAACCAAGUUCUAGGCCACCUCAAUUUUUAAAGAUUGGGUAGAAGAAGAGAAAGAUCCAAAAAAGUAAGAAAAAGAGUCAAGAAAGUAUGGUAUCACACACACACACACACACAAAAUAAAAAAUAAAUCAGAAAUGUGGUAGUUGUCUAUUGUGUUGAAUUCUGCUGAGAAGAGUGGAGAUCACUAGUGAACCUAAUGAGAGUGAUUUCAGCAAAGAAGAGAGGAUAAAGCCUGAUCAACGAGGAUUUGAAAGAAAAUGGGAGAUAAGGACAAGGAGAUAGCAACUAUAGCUUACUUUUCAGUUAUUCUGUGAAAAGGACCUGGACCUGGAAGUUAACUUGGAAGAUGAAACUAGUGAUUGACCGUGAAAAAAAGAAGUAGUGAACUAAUCCAGCUGAAUUGAGAGGAAGAGGAGGACAAGAAGAAAGAGGAGAAGGAAGAUUAGCCCUGAGCUAACUACUGCCAAUCCUCCUCUUUUUGCUGAGGAAGACUGGCCCUGAUCUAACAUCCAUGCCGAUCUUCCUCUACUUUAUACGUGGGGCGCCUACCGCAGCUUGGCUUUUGCCAAGUGGUGCCAUGUCUGCACCCGGGAUCCGAACCAGCGAACCCCAGCCUGCCAAGAAGUAGAACAUGCGAACUUAACUGCUGCACCACUGGGCCGGCCCCGUAACUGGAUUCUUAAAGAUACGUGACCAGGACUUUCUUCACUGGGAUAGAGACGUGUGAUCUCAAGCGAUAGGAAAUGGAUAUUGGUGAAGACUGACAAAGCCUCCCACAAAUAUUCACCAAUAGGGAAUUGUAAAUUAAUUAACAUGAAUCCAUAUAAAGGAAUAUCAAGUAGCUAUUUUUAAAAAAGAAUGAAGAUGUACUGUAUGUAUUGAUAUGGAAAGACCUCCAAGACUAGUGUUAUUUGAAAGAAAUUAAAAUUUUGAAAAGUAUGUAUAAUAUGAUACAUUUUGUAUAAAAAGAGGGGGG